GACGAACGCUGGCGGCAUGCCUAAUACAUGCAAGUCGAGCGAACAGAUGAAGUGCUUGCACUUCUGACGUUAGCGGCGAACGGGUGAGUAACACGUAAGGAAUCUACCUAUAAGCGGGGGAUAACAUUCGGAAACGGGUGCUAAUACAGCAUAAUAUCUUCUUCCGCAUGGAAGAAGAUUGAAAGACGGCUCUGCUGUCACUUAUAGAUGACCUUGCGGUGCAUUAGUUAGUUGGUGGGGUAACGGCCUACCAAGACGAUGAUGCAUAGCCGACAUGAGAGGGUGAUCGGCCACAUUGGGACUGAGACACGGCCCAAACUCCUAUGGGAGGCAGCAGUAGGGAAUCUUCCGCAAUGGGCGAAAGCCUGACGGAGCAAUGCCGCGUGAGUGAAGAAGGCCUUCGGGUCGUAAAACUCUGUUAUAAGAGAAGAACAAAUUGUAGAGUAACUGCUACAGUCUUGACGGUAUCUUAUCAGAAAGCCACGGCUAACUACGUGCCAGCCGCCGCCGUAA
rnacentral:rRNA from 1 species